rnacentral:rRNA from 1 species
GGUGAACGCUGGCGGCGUGCUUAACACAUGCAAGUCGAACGGAAAGGCCCAAGCUUGCUUGGGUACUCGAGUGGCGAACGGGUGAGUAACACGUGGGUGAUCUGCCCUGCACUUCGGGAUAAGCCUGGGAAACUGGGUCUAAUACCGGAUAGGACCACAUUUUGGAUGGUGUGGUGGAAAGUUUUUCGGUGUGGGAUGAGCUCGCGGCCUAUCAGCUUGUUGGUGGGGUAAUGGCCUACCAAGGCGUCGACGGGUAGCCGGCCUGAGAGGGUGUACGGCCACAUUGGGACUGCGAUACGGCCCAGACUCCUACGGGAGGCAGCAGUGGGGAAUAUUGCACAAUGGGCGCAAGCCUGAUGCAGCGACGCCGCGUGGGGGAUGACGGCCUUCGGGUUGUAAACUCCUUUCGCUAGGGACGAAGCGCAAGUGACGGUACCUGGAGAAGAAGCACCGGCUAACUACGUG